rnacentral:rRNA from 1 species
CGGACGGGUGAGUAAUGUCUGGGAAACUAGCCUGAUGGAGGGGGAUAACUACUGGAAACGGUAGCUAAUACCGCAUAACGUCGCAAGACCAAAGAGGGGGACCUUCGGGCCUCUUGCCAUCGGAUGUGCCCAGAUGGGAUUAGCUAGUAGGUGGGGUAACGGCUCACCUAGGCGACGAUCCCUAGCUGGUCUGAGAGGAUGACCAGCCACACUGGAACUGAGACACGGUCCAG